rnacentral:lncRNA from 1 species
AAUUUGGUGCCAUGACUUUGGGGAUUUUCGGCCAAAUCCAAAGGGUGGAAUUUUGGGUUCUUGUUUGACUUGUUAAAAGUGUUUUCAAGUGACUUUUGGAACCCCUAUGUACCCUAUUUUGGUUAGAUGUUAUUUCCCUAAAGUUUGAAUGGUUUUGGAAUGUUUUUGGGUGAAAAAUGUUCAUGGAAAAUUAUGAGUUUUUUCAUGAGUGUUCUUCAUUGUUCUUGACAUUUUUGCCAAGAACAUAAAGGUUUGUGUUUUGAUUCAAAGUUUUGGUUAAUUUCAUAAAGUCUUUGUUUUGUGUUGGUUGAUGUGAAUUUUCUAUCACCAAAACAUUUUUUUUUUUGAAAGGUGAUAGAAAUUGUGAUGGGUGUGUAAGACUUACACACCUUACACACCUUACACACCACAUGCAUGGUUUUAUGAUUCACAACAACCAAAUUCCAUUUGCAAGGCUUUAUGAUUUAGUUGAAAAAAAAAAUUUCCAAAUUUUUGUGGACUUAUCUCCACUCCCUCUCCCUCUCCCUCUCCCUCUCUAAAAACCGGCCCUCCCUCAAUGGGAGUACUUUUGGGUCUUUUAUGCAAUUACAUAAAGUUUUGAUACUUUUGUGUAUUUGCACUUUGGCCCAAAAGUUUACGUUUUUACGUUUAGGUCCAAAAACGCUAAAGGACAACUUGUUUUGCUCCUUUAAUGAAGUUUUUGCAUUGAUUAAAUUUUGGGUUCUAGUGUAAUUACAUGAAGUAGUGGACUUUUGUGUCUUUACAAAGUGACCCCAAAAGUUUUGCAAUAUAGCCCAAAAGUUGAGGUUAAUUGCAAGAUAGCCCAAAAGUUGUGGUUAUUGCAUAUUGGCCCAAAUUAGGUAGAGAACAAAAUUGUUUUGUCUCUUUAAAUG